rnacentral:rRNA from 1 species
AGUGAACGCUGGCGGUAGGCCUAACACAUGCAAGUCGAACGGCAGCACAGGAGAGCUUGCUCUCUGGGUGGCGAGUGGCGGACGAGUGAGGAAUACAUCGGAAUCUACUCUGUCGUGGGGGAUAACGUAGGGAAACUUACGCUAAUACCGCACACGACCUACGGUUGAAAGCAGGGGACCUUCGGGCCUUGCGCGAUUGAAUGAGCCGAUGUCGGAUUAGCUAGUUGGCGGGGUAAAGGCCCACCAAGGCGACGAUCCGUAGCUGGUCUGAGAGGAUGAUAAGCCACACUGGAACGGAGACACGGUCCAGACUCCUGCGGGAGGCAGACGUGGGGAAUAUUGGACAAUGGGCGCAAGCCUGGUCCAGCCAUACCGCGUGGGUGAAGAAGUCCUUCGGGUUGUAAAGCCCUUUUGUUGGGAAAGAAAUCCAGCUGGCUAAUACCCGGUUGGGAUGACGGUACCCAAAGAAUAAGCACCGGCUAACUUCGUGCCAGCCGCCGCCGUAA